CCUUCUCCCUCUCUGCGCAGCACCUUUCCUGUGAAGGAGGGGCGCUGCACAGAGAGAGAGAAGGCGCAGUGCCCCUUCAGCGACGCGUCUGUCCUGGCUUCUGCUUUAGCCCUGCGCAGCCUCUUUGGGCAGGGGGAGCCUUCAUCCCGCUGCCCUGAAGAGGCUUGGCGUGGUUACCCAGAAGCCAGAACAGCCACACGGUAUCCCAGAAGCCAGAUCCCUCUUGCUGGUCUGGCUUCUUGGGUUCAGAAUAAUUUUUUCUUGUUUUCCGCCUCCCAAAACAUAUGCGCCCUAUGGUCCGGUGUGCCCUAUGGUACGAAAAAUACGGUAUUCACAUUUGUUUUUAAUGGUAUUUUAAUUGCUUCUUUUUUUCCUUAUAAUAUUAUUUUUGUAUUCUAUUCAAUUCCAAUUCUAAUAGAAUACAGUAUUUAAGAAAUCAUAUAUAAGAAAUGGGGGUUGGACUAGAUGAUCCCCCAGGGUCCCUUCCAACUGUACAAUGCUGUGAUUCUAUAUAUACCUAAGAUUAGAGCCCUAGACAUUUUUUUAAAGUAAAAUAAAUGAAAUAGCAGUUGUUUGACGCACAGUUUCAGAUCAGCUUCCACGGGAAGGGGUUUUUUAAAUUUUGAAUACUGUACAGGCACACCUUGUUUUAUUGUGGUUCCCUUUAUUGUGCUUCGCAGAUAUUGCUCCUUAUGAGGAUGCGAGGUGCAGGCAGUCUGGCUGCUUCCAGGAGAAGGAAGCUCCCACCCGCCACCCCUUUUCUGGCCAUGGGAGUGGAGCUGACUAAUUUUGGGGCUGAGUUUUCCCCCUCCCACCCCUGCAACCAGUGGGGCUUGGCUUAGUAGACUACAGUGUAGUGUAAGCAUAACUUGUAUAUUUAUGUUUUUGGCUGGAAAAAGGGGAGGGGAAGUAGGGGGAAAGUGUCAGAAGGGGCUAGGAGAGCAGGGGGGGAAACCAUCAGAAAUCCCACCUGCCAAUGCACUCGCCUUGGAAGAGCGUUCAGAGGCACAGGUUCAGUGGCCUUGGGAGAGGCUAUGGAGGUAGUUGGAGCGUCUUCCACAGUCUUGGGAGAGAGUGUGGCCUUCAGUAUGUCACAGAACUCCUAUUGUAGCAUUAAGAUUAUGCAGAUGGAGAGCACACACUGUUCAAAGAAAAUAUUAACACAAUAUUUUUGAAAUGGUAGGCCUGUGCUGUGAAAGAGUAGGUCACCCUGUGCUUUUCUUUUUAAAAGAUACAUAAGUGAUUAUCUCAUGUAGUAGUAGUAGUAGUAGUAAUAAUAAUAAUAAUAAUAAUAAUAAUUUGUCCUCAGUGUACAUUCUGCCUUGCAGAAUAACACUGGCAACAGAUCUGAAAUCUGAACUACACAGUGAAAGGAGGGAGGGACUAUGGGGCACACCUUUUAUACAGGGAGAAGUUAAUUGCCUUGGUAACACACUGAGUAUGAAGAGGAAAGUCAAUAGAAUAAUUGAAGAUGAAGCCAAGACUUACAUGCCUGAUCAACAGGGGAUGUUGUUGGUGGAUAGGAAGAGGAAUCAAAGAGGGGAAAGCUUUUGAGGAGAGAGUAGUGGAUCAGUUUUGGACAGGUUGAGUUUGAGAUGGUAAUGGGACAUCCAAAUGAGGGGGGAAAGUGAGUAUAUGUAUUUUUAAAACUUAAAACCAUGCCAAAACUGUUUAAAUAAAUGCAUCACAGAUUAUGAUAGUUACACCAAAAUAUGAGUGGUCAAAUCUCUGGGUGCUAGUUUCAGCUAUGCCAUGUGCUGCAAAAAUAUUCAAAACACGUUUCACAGAGGCCAUAGCAGAACACAGGAAGGAAAGAUGCACAGAAAUGGCAAUGGUGGCUGUUCAAUAUUCCCUUGAAGUCCUCAUUUGUACAGUCAUAAACAAAUGAAACCUGACCAGGUAUCUGCUGAUAGUAGCCAAUGUUGAAAUGAUUGGCUGCCUUAAACUGGAGCUGCAGGAGGGUAGAUGAUCUCUCCUCAGCCACAAGAGGGUGCACACAGUCCCAAAGUAGUUUCCUUGGCUAGAGUUGUUGAGCUUUUUUAAGAAAACCCCAAAAUUGUUGAACUUUCUCUUUUUUUUCAAAAACUCCAAAAAAGAGCAGCAUGUAUUCCUAGCCAGAAGAGGGUGUGUGUUUCUAUAAAGCACAGUCUGAAAUUAAGUUUGUCAUCUCUGCUCCCAGACAGUUUACUUGGUAUAAGCCGUAGGGCAGCGUGUCCAUUCAGGAAGGUCAUCCACGCUGAGACACAUGAUGGAGCCAUUUUGCUGACACUACACAGGCCUAAUCUGUGCCUAGAUGAAGGUUCACACACAGACCCCAUGUACAUCACUCAGAGUUGAAGAAUGUUGGGACAUAGAUGUACUAAAAUUAAUAAAUAAGUAACCUUCUUGAAAUCAAAAUCAUAGGGCAAUACACACUCUAGCUGCCUUUUGGAUGCAAUGGAGCAUGUGAACGGAAUCUUUAAAAUUAUAAACUGAAGUGGAGUUACAGUGCAAUGCCCUUAAAAUAUGUGCAUCUCUUCUAUGUGAUUUCAAACCCCAGAGACACUAUAGAGACAUCCUAGUUUGAACUAAACUGAUCCAAGCACAAAAAGGAAGGGGAAAAUAGAUUUCAAAAAUAAAAGCAGUUAUUGAAAACAGUAUGUUCAGCUUGAGUUCUCUCAAUAAAUAAGAACAGAGAUCACAAUUAUACAUUUACAGUUCUGAACUCAAAAUGGGGUGGGGAAAUGAUUCCACUAAUAUAUUUUCAAACUAACUCUGGCCUAUUUGUAAAGGGGUAUAACCCACCCAGCUCAGAACAAUGUGCAAUGGAUGUUUAAGUCACACGUUUUCAUGGAAAAAUAAUAUCCUUCUAAUCUACAAGCAGAGUUAAGUAGGGUUCAGGUUGGUGGGAUCCUGAGUGCUGCCUGAGAAACACAAGAGACCCAGUAGGAGCUGGGAGCAAAUUCAGCAAGAUAUUGUCUGCAUCGGCAGAUCCUUCACCUAUUUACUGCAACUUCCAUUUUGAAUUUAAGGUGUGAGAUGUCAAGAAAAGAGCUAAGAAUAAAUUGUAAAGAAAGAAUAGGAAAAUAUGAUGAAUUAUAGUGAGUCAUGCAAUAAAGCCCUGACAGAAAUACAAACUAACCUAUUUGGAAAUAUUGUUGAAAAUUUGGAAUAAAUAAAACCAUGAGAAAUGUAUGCUUUCUGCUGCAGCCUUGGGAGAUGACAGACAAUUGGGCAACAUACAUUGUUGAGGAGACAGCAGACUGUAGCAAAGCUGUCUAGACAAGUAAAUUACAGAAAUUUAUGUAGUCUCAAGAAGUAAAAAAUCAUUAAAUUGGGUUGGGGGAUUGAAUUCCUGCAUAUUACCCUGAAAAUGUACUAAUCCUAAUUGCUAAUGGGUGUGAAAAUUCUCCAGAUACAAAUAAUACAUUGAAAGUGUGUCAUAAUAAUUAUUAUGCCCAGGAAUAUUUAAUUAUUUUAUUAAUAUUCCCCUCACAGCACUUCACUUAGAAAUUCGCUGAAGUGUAGUGCAAGGCUUGGCAAAUGGAUAAUGCUGAACUCCUGUCUCUACCAUAAAUAUGCUUCAGGGACACGGGUGGCGCUGUGGUCUAAACCACUGAGCCUCUGAGACUUGCCAAUUGGAAGGUCAGCGGUUCAAAUCUGCGCAACAAGGUCAGCUCCCGUUGCUCUGUCCCAGCUUCUGCCAACCUAGCAAUUCAAAAGCACACUAAUGCAAGUAGAUAAAUAGGUACUGCUAUCACAGGAAGGUAAACAGUGUUUCCAUGCACUCUGGCACUCAUCACAGUGUUCCAUUGCGCCAGAAGCAGUUUAGUCAUGCUGGCCACAUGACCCGGAAAGCUCUCUGUGGACAAACGCCAGCUCCCUUAACCGUCCAGGGGUCCUUUACCUUUCACCUUUAAAUAUGCUUCAUGCCCAUUCAGUUCCAGAUGGUAAAAUAUAAUCAAGAGGAUCACAUUUGCCCCUCAACUUUUCCUUUCCCUUUUCCCUUUUCCAAGUGAUGCACACUUAUCUGCCUUUUCCUUCAUUUUAAUAAUCUUAAAAGGUUAUGUGUGACUCACCAGUUUAUGGUAAUUAGAGGCAUCUUUCUUUUAUCAAUAGAUUAUGAGCACAUUGUACGCACUAAUUAAGAAAUUAUGUGAUGAUAAAACAUGAAAAUUGAGCAGGUCCCUGGUCACAAUGCUGUGUGAAAAGAUAUGUUAGACAAUAAGCUCAGGUGCUGAAGACAACAUUCUGCUAUUUGCAUUCAUCUGAUAGGACCAAGCAGAGGCACCAUGAUGUUGCUAGAGAUAUUUGCCAUGGCAAACAGUAUACAUUUUCCUCCAUGUCUGAUUCUCAGAGGGCUAUUACUCAUUCUGUAUAUGCAAAGCCAGGUUUUCAAUAAUCUUUCCUGCAGUAAUAUUUACAGCCUUUUCAAUGUAGCUGCACUUUCACUGUCAGGCUCAGUGUGGUGCAAAUGCACAACAGGUGAAAAGAGCUAGGAGAGUAUGACAUCUAAAGUUGUAAACAGAAUUAUAUAGUGAGCCCCAUGACAAUCUCCAUCUAGCCCCCAGAAUUUUCUAAACCUUUUGCCCUAUCACAUGCUGUUUGUUGUUCCAGAAAUACAUAGCAUCAGCAAUCAGGAAAGAUCACAUCAGUGCAACAAACCCAGAUCACCCGACAAAGGCAUAGAGACAAGCUAAAUGCCGGCAUCAGGCAAGAAGGUACAAUUUACCAGGGUGUGCUAAUAUACAGUACAUGAUUUUAUUUGUAUGCCAGCUUUCCAUAGUUAAAACCAGUUUGCAACAUGAAAAAAUACAUACUGUAAUUGC